GCCAUGAAGAAAAAUGAAGCAGGGAGAUG
rnacentral:piRNA from 1 species